CUUCUAAAGAGUUGUCUUCCA
rnacentral:snRNA from 1 species